ACCACACUCAUUAACAGCAAUAUGAUUUAGGCUUUGUUGACACAGGAACAAAAACCAGACGCAAUCGUUAUAGUUUUGUGCCUGUUUUAUGCUUCUGUUUACACGGAAACGAGUAAAACUGUGAUAGAAUCUUCAUAGGAAAACAGUGUUCAAAGUGUUUAAAAAAUAUGCGUUAUGCCUUGCUGUUACCCAGCCUUGGUUAUGAUUUAACCUCUCAAUUUUAAAGUCAUAUCUCAAUUUUAAAGUCAUAUCUCAAUUUUUAAUCUUAAUUUGAAAGCUCAUUAAGGUCGCUUCAUUAUCUACUCUUGAUUGAAUUUUACUAAUUUCUUCAAAUCUUUUAAUUUCAAAGGUUAAUAAAUCAUGCCUGAAUUUUUGAGAUAUCGAGUUGCAUUUUUUUAC